UAGGGAAUCUUCCGCAAUGGGCGAAAGCCUGACGGAGCAACGCCGCGUGAGUGAUGAAGGUCUUCGGAUCGUAAAACUCUGUUAUUAGGGAAGAACAAAUGUGUAAGUAACUAUGCACGUCUUGACGGUACCUAAUCAGAAAGCCCCGGCUAACUACGUGCCAGCAGCCGCGGUAAUACGUAGGUGGCAAGCGUUAUCCGGAAUUAUUGGGCGUAAAGCGCGCGUAGGCGGUUUUUUAAGUCUGAUGUGAAAGCCCACGGCUCAACCGUGGAGGGUCAUGGGAAACUGGAAAACUUGAGUGCAGAAGAGGAAAGUGGAAUUCCAUGUGUAGCGGUGAAAUGCGCAGAGAUAUGGAGGAACACCAGUGGCGAAGGCGACUUUCUGGUCUGUAACUGACGCUGAUGUGCGAAAGCGUGGGGAUCAAACAGG
rnacentral:rRNA from 1 species